rnacentral:rRNA from 1 species
ACGGAGGGUGCGAGCGUUGUCCGGAAUCACUGGGCGUAAAGGGCGCGUAGGCGGUCUGUUAAGCGUGCGGUGAAAGCCUGGGGCUCAACCCCAGGUCUGCCGUGCGAACUGGUGGACUUGAGCACUGUAGAGGCAGGUGGAAUUCCGGGUGUAGCGGUGGAAUGCGUAGAGAUCCGGAAGAACACCGGUGGCGAAGGCGGCCUGCUGGGCAGUAGCUGACGCUGAGGCGCGACAGCGUGGGGAGCAAACAGGAUUAGAUACCCUGGUAGUCCACGCCGUAAACGAUGGGCACUAGGUGCUUGGGGGAGCGACCCCCCGGGUGCCGGCGCUAACGCAUUAAGUGCCCCGCCUGGGGAGUACGACCGCAAGGUUG